GCGGCCUGGAUAACCACUCUCCGUGAACGGACGAGCAGAGACACAGCGCCAGCUGAUCGUCCAAAAGCUCGCAUUGUUGGAUUUUUCACUUAUUUCUGCUUGCAACAGAACAUAGCUGGAAUUUGUAUUUAAGACGUUAUGGCAGGGAAUUCAUUGGAGUCCAAACUGCAGAACCCACAACUAAGCCCAUCAGGAGCCGUUAUUCAGAGAAAUGAAGUGCAGAUUGUUUGUGCCGACGCAUGAAGCUGCUUGGUGUAUCCUCUCAUCACAAGCAAGCUGCACUGCCAUGUAGGAACAAGCAGGAAUACAUUAAAAGGUAAUGAGAGAUCAGUCAGAAGAGGGUCAUGCAGGGCACUGUUUGGCAUCGCCAUUGCUGGGAUAGAGCUUUCAGCGUGACUGCCUUGUUGUCUCUGUUGAGGAGCCAGAAGGGGUGGAGUUCAACAACGUUCCUCAUGGCAACAGUUGCUAAGCCUUGCUUCUUGUUGAUGUGGUUAUUUGUAAAUCAAAACUGGGUGCAAGAGAUUAGCAAGCAUUGUAUAUAUGUAUGUUAUUUCACAUAUUAACUAUGAUUUGAAUAAAUAUUAUCAUCCAAGA